AUACUAGAUAUGAUCUCAAAAUCACAGGGGUCAAGGUCUGCCAAUGAGACGAUGGAGGAUAAACUUCAUCAUCGAGAGGGAAACAUCCCAGAUCACCAGCUAAGGCCUCUAAAUAACUUCUUAGUGAUAAAGGAAGUAGAGGUGCUGAGACAACCAGAAGGUUUGCCUAGAAUCAAACAGCCUUGAAAAAGUACGUAAUAGCUCACUGAUCGAGCGCUCUUGCACCGAAGAUGAACAUGGCAAGAGAUUUACCAAAGCUGUGGGAUAUCAAAAUGAAUCGGUGGAGGAGCCUUCUGCCUUAGAGGGAAGCACCUGUGCGAGUAGUGGUGGAUGAAGCAGAAGCG
rnacentral:ncRNA from 1 species